ACUCGAGUGGCGAACGGGUGAGUAACAUGUGGGUGAUCUGCCCUGCACUUCGGGAUAAGCCUGGGAAACUGGGUCUAAUACCGGAUAGGACGAUGGUUUGGAUGCCAUUGUGGAAAGUUUUCGGUGUGGGAUGAGCUCGCGGCCUAUCAGCUUGUUUGUGGGGUAAUGGCCUACCAAGGCGUCGACGGGUAGCCGGCCUGAGAGGGUGUACGGCCACAUUGGGACUGAGAUACGGCCCAG
rnacentral:rRNA from 1 species